GACGGAGAUGCAAGUGUUAUCCGGAAUCACUGGGCGUAAAGCGUCCGUAGGUGGUUUAAAAAGUCCACUGUUAAAAAUUGAAGCUUAACUUCAAAGAUGCCGUGGAAACUUUUAAACUUGAGUAUGGUAGGGGUAGAGGGAAUUUCCAGUGGAGCGGUGAGAUGCGUAGAUAUUGGAAAGACCACCAAUGGCGAAGGCACUCUACUGGGCCAUUACUGACACUGAGAGACGAAAGCUAGGGGAGCAAAUGGG
rnacentral:rRNA from 1 species